UGGUGGAUGCCUUGGCGAUCAGAGGCGAAGAAGGACGUGGUACGCUGCGAAAAGCUACGGUUAGGUGCGAACAACCGAUAACCCGUAGAUGUCCGAAUGGGGAAACCCACCACUUUAUGUGGUAUCUUAUACUGAAUACAUAGGUAUAUGAGGCGAACCCGGGGAAGUGAAACAUCUCAGUACCUGGAGGAAAAGACAUCAAUUGAGAUUCCGAAAGUAGUGGCGAGCGAAAUCGGAUCAGCCCAGUGGCUGUUCUUUAAUAACUGGAAGCAUCUGGAAAGUUGCACCAAAGUGGGUGAUAGUCCCGUACAGGUAAAAAUUAGAACAGAUCCUUGAGUAAGGCGGGACACGUGAAAUCCUGUCUGAACAUGGGGGGACCACCCUUUAAGGCUAAAUACUCUCAUGCGACCGAUAGUGAACUAGUACCGUGAGGGAAGGGUGAAAAGUACCCCGGAAGGGGAGUGAAAUAGAUCCUGAAACCGUGUGCAUACAAACAGUAGGAGCAGACCGCGGUGUGACUGCUACCUUUUAUAAUGGGUCAGCGACUUAGUGUAACUAAGCAAGCUUAAGCCGUUAGGCGAAGGGUAGCGAAAGCGAGUCUGAAUAGGGCGUUAGUAUGCAGGAUUAGACCCGAAACCCGGUGAUCUAGCCAUGAUCAGGUUGAAGGUUGGGUAACACCAACUGGAGGACCGAACCCGUGAAUGUUGAAAAAUUCUGGGAUGACCUGUGGAUAGGGGUGAAAGGCUAAACAAACUCCGGAGAUAUCUGGUUCUCUGCGAAAGCUAUUUAGGUAGCGCGUCGGAUGUUUACCGCCGGGGGUAGAGCACUGGAUGGGCUAUGGGGACUCACCGUCUUACUGAUCCUAACCAAACUCCGAAUACCGCAGAGUACAGCUUUGGCAGACAGACGGCGGUGCUAGUCCGUAUCGUCAAAAGGGAAACAGCCUAACCAUCAUCUAAGGCCCCCAAGUCACGGAUUAAGUGGGAAACGAUGUGGGAUUGCUAAAGGAUGUGGCAGGUUUGACAGCAGGAUUGUUAGCUUAGAAGGCAGCCAUCCUUUAAAGAAAGCGUAAUAGCUCACUGGUCUAAAUAAGAGUUCCCGCGCCGAAGAUGUACCGGGGCUAAAGUUAUCUACCGAAGCUUAGGGCGUGCUUUGCACGCGGUAGCGGAGCGUUCUGUAAGCCUGCGAAGGCGGACCCGCGAGGGCUGCUGGAGGUAUCAGAAGUGAGAAUUCUGACAUGAGUAGCGACUAUGCGGGUGAAAAGCCCGUCGCCGAAAGUCCAAGGGUUCCUGCGCAAGGUUAAUCCACACUGGGUUGAGUCGAUCCUAAGGCGAGGCCGAAAGGCGUAGUCGAUGGCAAUACGGUUAAUAUUCCGUAACCUGUGAGUAGUGACGGUGGCCGAAAUCUGUUCUUUCUUAUCGGAUUGAUAAGGGCAGGCUAGGACAUCCAGGAAAUAGCUCUCACAUAUAGUCCGUACCCGAAACCGACACAGGUGGAAUGGUAGAGUAUACCAAGGCGCUUGGGAUAACUGUUCUGAAGGAACUCGGCAAAAUGCCUCCGUAACUUCGGAAGAAGGAGGCCCCAUUUUUGGGCAACCAGAAAUGGGGGGCACAAGCCAGGGGGUAGCGACUGUUUACUAAAAACACAGGUCCGUGCGAAGUCGUAAGACGAUGUAUACGGACUGACUCCUGCCCGGUGCCGGAAGGUUAAAAGGAGGUGUGCAAGCACUGAACUUAAGCCCCAGUAAACGGCGGUGGUAACUAUAACCAGUCCUAAGGUAGCGAAAUUCCUUGUCGCAUAAGUUCGCACCUGCACGAAUGGUGUAACGACUUG
rnacentral:rRNA from 1 species